GUUUCGUAUACAUUAGAACCGUAAUCAGAUUAUUAUGCCCAUAUUAGGUGGCUGCCCGUAUUAACCGGUAGCCACUUUGAGCAGAUUCCACUGUAUUUCUUUAUUUAUUUUUUGUAGGUAAACUAGUAGAUGAUGGGACAGGAAGUAAGUUUAUGUUUAUUUAUAAUUAAUAAAGUUCUCAAAAGAAAGUUAUAUUUGGUAAGAUAUAAAGUAGCUACGCCGUUAUUACCGUACAAGGUUGGCUAUAGUACAAGACUAUAUGAUACCAAUGAGGAGGCAAUUUCCCUAUUAUUUUUGCUCUCUAGUUGUCAUUACUGGGCAAGUUUUGAAUAUCUAAUAUACAUAAUAUAACGGAAAAGUAGGUUUAAUGAUUAAUAAUUUCCCUACUUAAGGCUAUGGAUUAAAGUCAGAGUUAUACACUUAAUAAGUUUCAGUUUUCUGGGUAUAAUAAUAUAAAUCAUAUUUAAACUAUGCCAUUAACAUGUUUGAAACGAUUUUUUUACUAAAUUGUUUUCUUUGAAC